GGAAUAUUGGACAAUGGGGGCAACCCUGAUCCAGCAAUGCCGCGUGGGUGAAGAAGGCCUGCGGGUUGUAAAGCCCUUUCAGUGGGGAGGAGGCUUGAGGCAAUUAAUACUUGCCUUGGGUGACGUUACCCACAGAAGAAGCACCGGCUAACUCCGUGCCAGCAGCCGCGGUAAUCCGGAGGGUGCGAGCGUUAAUCGGAAUUACUGGGCGUAAAGCGGGCGUAGGCGGCCGCUUAAGUCUGAUGUGAAAGCCCCGGGCUUAACCUGGGAAUGGCAUUGGAGACUGGGCGGCUAGAGUGCGAUAGAGGAUGGUGGAAUUCCCGGUGUAGCGGUGAAAUGCGUAGAGAUCGGGAGGAACACCAGUGGCGAAGGCGACCAUCUGGGUCUGCACUGACGCUCAGGCACGAAAGCGUGGGGAGCGAAC
rnacentral:rRNA from 1 species